AUGAACCCGCUGGUGGACGAGUUCUUGGGAGGAAAGAGCGGCCUUCUGGUGGCGAUGGGUCCGACGGGGUCCGGCAAGACGCACACCGUCUUUGGUACUGCAAGAAAUCCCGGCCUAGUACCGCUCACUCUACAGAAGAUCUUCACUGCGGCAGAUGAAUCCGAAGGUGGCAACCAAUCGCCAAGAUCGUUUUACUUGUCAAUGUUCGAGAUACUCUGUGAAGGAAAAGGAGAACGGAUUCUCGAUCUUCUGUCUGAUGCAGCAGAACUGGUCCUCCAGCAGUCAGCAACAAUUAAAGGCCUUAAAGAGGUGGCCGUUUCAAGUGCCAUGGAUGCUGAGAGUUUUGUUUCACGUGGCAUGCUUAAGCGUAGCACAGCUGCAACUGAUGCUAACAGCGAGUCAAGCCGGUCACAGUGCAUCAUCACUAUACGUGCUGUUCAUAAACCCGUUGACCAAAAAAGUGAGCACCCGACUAGUGGAUCUGUCCUGACCAUUGCUGACCUUGCUGGAGCAGAGCGAAAAAAGAAUACUGGAAAUAAGGGUUCAAGGUUGUUGGAGAGUAACUUUAUCAACAAUACGUCCAUGGUUUUUGGUCUAUGUCUGAGGGCUUUGUUAGAUCACCAGAAAAAUCAGAAGAAAACCUUGGAGAAACAUUUUAAGAACUCAAUGUUGACGAGGUACUUGAAAGACUACCUGGAAGGAAGGAAGAAGAUGACUCUGAUUUUGAACGUGAAACCAGGAGAAGAUGACUAUGCUGAUACAUCAUAUUUGCUCAGACAAGCAUCUCCUUACAUGAAAAUAAGGUACACCAGCCUUGAUGAAUCUUCUGACUUGGUUUCCCAAAAGAGAACCAAUGUUUCCCUGGUUUGCCAAGAGAACAAGAAAAGGAGGAAGGUUAACAAGCCCGAACCUGAAGUUGUUACGGCUGAAGAAAAGGAGCUGCAAAGAGUGUCUCGAAGUGAACAAGUCAUGAAGAACCUUUUCAACGCUUUAUGGACUGUUUCAAAACAAAAGAUUUCAGAGUCCGAGGUUGCUGCUAAAAGCAUGCGAGAAUUGCUCAAAGAUAAAGACAUUGAAAUUCUAGAGCUGAAAAAGGAGUUGGAUGACCUGAAGUCUCGUUGUUCACACGUUAAGCAAAAUGAUGCUGCAUCAAUUGCUAUAAGCUCGGUUUCUCAAACUGACCUGGCCAGUGAUGCUGCAUUAGACAAUGUCCAUCUGAGCACUGAGUUGGUACAAAAGAUCUCAGAAGAAUCUACAUAUUCUGAUCCAGAAAUGUCUUCAGCUUAUUGCGAUAUGACAGAGAAAUCCGUCGACUGUGAUACCUCUGUUGCUAAUUUGAUAGAUGAACACGAGUUGAGCUCCAGAUAUUUGAAGAAAGAGGAAUCAUGCACUCCUGAUGUUACUGAACCCAAGUGCGAUCUGAAAAAGGAAAAUACUGAGAUAAUGGGACAAGUGGGCAACAAGGAAUCUGAUGGUUCUGAGAGUUGUUCUGAGCAAACAUCUGCACCUGACGGCGGUGUAACACAUGCACCCAGUCAUUUGGAUGAUCCAUCUGAGCUAAGCUAUACAGAACUUCAUAUAGUUCCCUGUAAUCUGUCCGCACAGUUUACUGAUAUACAAGUUAGCGAGAAAGCUCCCAUGGAACAAAGUGAAGAAGAGGAGUUAAGCAGCAAUACAGAAGUGGAGAGUAUUCAACAUGUCGUCGACAUAAAAGAAAUGAAGCAGCAUGAUUAUGAAAGUUCAUCUCAGCAACCGAACUUUGGCGCUGGAGACGUUAGCUCCAAUCAGCCUUUGUUAGAGUUGCAAGGCAUGGAGAAUCCUGAUGAACUGGUGCCUGAGCCAGAAAUUUGUGAGCCCACGGUAAAGGAGGCUGCUGCAGAACACGCACAUGGCCGACAUGUACCGGAUGAAGGGCUUCCCCAGACGAAGGCUUCAAUAGCUCCAACCAAGGACUGCCAGGCAGAAGGAACCACAGAUGACCAAAAAGAGAACCUUUGCCAGGAAGAAGCAAAUGAGGACCUUUGCGCUUCGAAGCCUCGUGAAAACACAAAGAAGCCGUCAAGGAGGAGGCUGCUGCCAGUGUCGGCCAUGAUGCUCAAGGAGUUCACCGGCCCUGCCAUCGAUGCUGCGGAUACCAAGAGGGCCACGGAUGGAGGAGGAGGCGCCAAGGCAUCGUCAGGCGAGCAGUCGGCGACGGCUGCUGGGCGAUCGGACACGCUCAUCCGGCUCCUCAAAGCAAAAGCGCCGCCCAUGAGGCAUCGCUGGGGCUAG
rnacentral:rRNA from 1 species